CAGUCGCCACGGGAAUACGAAGGGGGCUAGCGUUGCUCAGAAUGACUGGGCGUAAAGGGCGCGUAGGCGGAUUGUUUAGUUAGGCGUGAAAUUCCUGGGCUUAACCUGGGGACUGCGCUUAAUACAGGCAGUCUAGAGUGAGGAAGAGGGUUGUGGAAUUCCCAGUGUAGAGGUGAAAUUCGUAGAUAUUGGGAAGAACACCGGUGGCGAAGGCGGCAACCUGGUCCUUGACUGACGCUGAAGCGCGAAAGCGUGGGGAGCAAACAGGAUUAGAGACCCGCGUAGUCCCUGUCUCUUAUAC
rnacentral:rRNA from 1 species